rnacentral:tRNA from 1 species
GGUCGCGUGGCCAAAUGGUACGGCGUCUGACUACGAUCGUGUUAAUCAGGAGAUCGCGGGUUCGAUCCCCGUCGUGACCU